UAGCGCCUCACUGAGGAGAGACAGAAUCUAUGUGUGCAGUCAUUAGGUUGGCCUAAGGGGAAGUUUGGACUCAGACACACACAGACAGAAGAUGCUGUGAACACACGGGGAGAAGAUGGCUGUCUACAAGCCAAGGAGCACCAAGAGCUACCAGAAGCUAGAAGAGGUGGAGAACUAAGGCUCAAAGUAGGAAUGCAGCUGGUGAGAGGGCAGAGCCCCAGUUCAAAGCCAGGCCCCGCUGAUUCAGUGCCCUCAUGCUUCCCAGAAGCCGCUCCCCUCCAGCCACGAGGUUGCUUACCAGCCUACCAGGACUUGGUUGUUUUAACAGAAAUUGCCUCAUAAUCCAGGUCGGCUUCUGAGAGUCUCACCAAGGUAACCACAUGGAGGUGCACGGAUCUCCAGAAGGCCAGACGCUGCUGUCUUUUAUAAUCGACUAUCAUGCAUAAACAUCAUAAGUAUCUCUAAAGAAGGGAAUGCUGCCCGAAAACAGACACUCACAAAGCAGAGAGGGAUCAUGCAUUCCCUCCCCCUCUGGAAAAAGUCCAGCUGUGAAAAGAGAGGUUCCCAAAGGUCUGAAAUCUGGGGGUCUCAAGUUAAUGGGUACAUUUUAAAGACUGAAUGUAUAUACAUCACCUCAAAUUGAUGUGGCUCCAAGAAGUAACUAUAUACCUGACUCAGAACGAGGCAGCCUGAGAAUGUUAUGAGGCAGACUUUUCCACUAUUAGGCACCUCUCAGCACCUCUCCUUACGCAUUUGGAGGCUCUAGAGAAUAGUUUAGACCCUAUUUAGAUGGGUGAACUUUCAAAAAACUACCUGAUACCCAAGAAACUUGAAAGAAUUAACAAUGUAUUCCUCAAAGCACCUUACAAGUUGAAACUUGUUUUCAGGAUAACUUCCGUUGCGAAAUACAUCUUAGUUUCUUAACUUGUUCUAAGACAGAAUUUGGUAUGUUAAAGAAGGGGCUUCAAAUGAAAUAUGCAAGAUCAAGUUAAAAGAAGAGCUCAACAUUUGCACAUUUUUUAAAUGUAUCUACUGAUAUAUGUGCUAGACACAGUCAUGAUUAGAGUCUGAGUCACAGAUAUUGCAAGACCAAGAUAACAGGCUUUGAUUUGAUUAUGGUGUGAAAUGUAGGGAUUGCAACAAAAAUAACCCCAAACGUUAAAAAGGAGAGAGAGUUUUUAUUAGAGACAUUCACACUCAUAGUUUUGAGGUCACUGGACUCAAAAAAAAAACAACGCAGUUUUGUUUUUCUGGCACAUACUAGCUUGGUGCAAUUAUUUAACAACUAGAAUACAGGAAAAGAAUUUUUUUUUUCCCGUGUAAGGACAAAUAUGUACGUUUUGGAGCCUUUAUUUUAAACAUUUUUUUAUUUUUGGAAAGCUAUUUUUUUUAUCAAAGCUCAAAGAAAUUUCCAAACAAUUAAAUCUAUCCUCACCUCCGUGCAAAGUUGGAAAUAAGCCUGAAUUAAUUACCGCAUUAAGAUGGAACCUCUUUUGAGGUACAUUCCCAUUUUAGGGAGUACUUGCAGGGACUUCUAAAGAUGGCAGGUGUUUGGAGGGAGAAACUUCUCAUUCCUGGCUCAUACUCUUCCAUGUGUGAGUGAAAUUCAGCCAAUACCUCUAUCCUGAAGCCACCCUCUCUCUAGUGAUAAAGCCCUCCGUGUCUCCCCACCCGGUGACAUUAGAUCGGUCACAUCUAAUGGGGUGGUUACUCUGGCAUAAGACAGGCUCGAGUCCCCUCUCACACUGUCUGCCUACAGGCAGUGUGAGGCCCCUGUUUGCAUUCUCUCCUCUUACCCGGGACAGGAGUUCUUGCCAGGGCAUCGGGUUUCUCCAGCUC